rnacentral:rRNA from 1 species
GCGUGGGUGAAGAAGGCCUUAGGGUUGUAAAGCCCUUUCGCCCGAGACGAUGAUGACGGUAUCGGGAGAAGAAGCUCCGGCUAACUCCGUGCCAGCAGCCGCGGUAAUACGGAGGGGGCUAGCGUUGUUCGGAAUUACUGGGCGUAAAGCGCACGUAGGCGGCGCGCCGAGUCGGGGGUGAAAGGCCUGGGCUCAACCUGGGAAUUGCCUUUGAUACUGGCGUGCUGGAGUCCGGGAGGGGGUGACGGAAUUCCCAGUGUAGAGGUGAAAUUCGU